UGGGGAAUAUUGGGCAAUGGGCGAAAGCCUGACCCAGCAACGCCGCGUGAAGGAAGAAGGUUUUCGGAUCGUAAACUUCUAUCCCGGGUGAAGAUAAUGACGGUAGCCCGGAAGGAAGCCCCGGCUAACUACGUGCCAGCAGCCGCGGUAAUACGUAGGGGGCAAGCGUUGUCCGGAAUGAUUGGGCGUAAAGGGCGCGUAGGCGGCCUUGUAAGUCCGAUGUGAAAUUCCUGCUUUUAAGGUAGGAAUUGCAUUGGAAACUGUAGGGCUUGAGUGCAGGAGAGGUAAGCGGAAUUCCCGGUGUAGCGGUGAAAUGCGUAGAGAUCGGGAGGAACACCAGUGGCGAAGGCGGCUUACUGGACUGUAACUGACGCUGAGGCGCGAAAGUGUGGGGAGCAAACA
rnacentral:rRNA from 1 species